UGAACAUAAACUUUCGAUUCAUUUGGAUAAACACCAGGGAACACAAUUGCAAGAUCAUGUCAUAAUGGGAAAGCCAUGUGGAGGCAGCAGAGUGCCUGGUGUCCAAGGAAGCAUGUAUAGGGGGUACAUAUGGUGGCAGUUGUAUGCUCAGCAGAAGAAGCACCAGGGAGGUGAAUAAUGGAAUGCUAUCUCUAGAGUACUGAAAGAAACUAAAGGCCAACGUGUGAAAAACAAUCUUCAGAAAUGAACGUUAAAUGAUGACAUUUUCAAACAAACAAGCAACAAAAAGAAGCAAAAAGUAAACAAAAAACAAAAAUUCACAUAAUUUAUUGCUAGGAGUUUUACACUGAAAUGCUGAAGGGAUUUCUACUAGCAAAAGUAAAAAUGAUCUCAUUUGAAAAGAUGGAAAUUCAAGGAGGGAAUGAAGAAUACUGGAUGGGUAAAUGUGUUGGUAACUGUAAAUGAAUACUGACUACACAAAAUUAUGUUGAAUAACUGAAAGAUGAAAACACAAUCACUUGAAGGAGAAAUGUAUGGUCAAACUGCAUGCAGGAAAAACUUCUAUAAAAGAGUUACUUCAUGCUCUGGGUUGGCAGAUACAAUGAGCAGGAGUGCAUCAGAAGUAAUCAAGAAGGUGAUUAGUUGGUGUACUUCAGCAGGAGCAACCAGAUGAAUUGGCUUCUCUAUAUCCCCGUAUUAGCCACAAGCUAGGCAGCAGCCUGCAGGUGGGAGCAAUGCCUAUGCAUGUAUGGAUCAGUGUGCUACAUACGAAAAAAAUGAAAAUGAAGAAGUAUAUGGUACAACUGGGGAACUCAAAGCCAAACUUGUGCCUAACUCUGACUUUAAAUACCUGAAGAAAACAAAUUUUGAAAGAAAAUUCCUCAAGUUAGUCCUAUAUCUCUGGAAUAUGAUAAAUUUCACAGAGAUUUUUACGUGGUCACGUUGACAGCAUGAACCUUCGAUGUGAUGUGAGGAAAAUGGCAUUCUACCUCUGUGUUCUUCCUCCCCAAAAUUUGUAACCACCAUCUAAUCAUGAGGAAAACAUCAUACAAGUCCAAAUUGAGGAAGAUUCUACAAAAUGCCUGAUUAAUAUUCAUCGAAACUGUCAAGGUCAUCAAAAGCAAGGAAAGUCUGAGAAACUGCCACAGCCUAAAGACAAUCCAGGGAAACGUGAUGACUCAGUGGUAUUCGGGGUGGGUUUCUGGAACAGCAAAAGGACAACAGGCACUGGACUUCAUUACUUCCUUACUGCAACCUGGCGCUUAAAGUGCUAUCAUCACAAGGAUGAAGAAACAGUUCAGAAAGGCUGAUUGAGAUGGCUAUGGUCAUGCCUUAUACCACUGGCAGGGGAGAUGGAAUUGGCCUAGUCAGUCAGAUUCUGGCCAAGUGGAGAAGACCAUGUCAAGGAUUGGGUUCUUGAGGGACUGGAGGUGGAACUAAGUCAAAGUCUCCGUGUUAACAUCUGGGCCAAACAUCUGGGCAGCAACAUCAGAAAGCCCCUCUGCUGUGCUUCAGGAUCACUCUUAUCACUGCAUAAAGGGUAUGCUACAUUUUUGCAGAAAGUCAGGAGGUUUAGAAACCACACAGAGAAACAUUGCUUGGAAAGGGGAACUCUUCAAUCGUCUAAGAUUACAGAUCUUGGAAUUGGGGUACCCUGAGCCACUAUCUAAAUUGUCUGCUUACCUUAUGAAGACACCAUAAGGAGGUAUAACGUGUGGUGAGCACAGGUGAAGAGCUAGAGGCCUGAAACUAGAUGGGGAGGGAGAAGCCAGCCAUGCCUGCAUCCAGGGCUGCACUCAGCCUCCCAGCAUCUGUGCAGAGGCAUCAGUCAAGCCACAGCUAACUGCAGUCCCAGCUAACAUUAUGUGGAACAUCCCAGUCAUCCCAGAUCAUCCCAGUCAACCAAGAUCAUAAAAUUGUUUUCAGCUAUUAAGUUUAAAUAUGUGAAAUAAGGAGAUAAAAAUACUGACUUGGACUCUGUCUGAAUGAAAGGAUUAGUAGAUUAGAUUAGUGAUUCUUAAAAGACUUUCUUGGAUGCAUAUAAGUGUCCACAAAAUAAGAGUAUGAUGGUUUCCAGGUACAAAUAAGAUGGAAAACUAUUUUGUGAAUCAGAAUUAAAUUGGUUUAUUUACUGUAGAACUUCUAAGAGGCUUUAACAUGUACAUUUAAUUAUCAUAAGCCUUAUGAAAACUCCAGGAGGACAGAAGAGUUGCCUGUGACUUUUUUUAAAGUGUUUAUUCACAUCCCAAGGAAGGAUUCCCAGAAGAGAUGAUGCCUAAGCAGUGUCCCAACCAUGAAAUAAAGUCUCCUAGCUACUGGACAAGAUCAUCUCGAAGCUUAUUUCCAGCUCCAAAUGUUAUUAUUUUCCUCAAACCCAUUAUAAAAUGGCCUCUCUUAGCACUAUGAGAUCUGUAAUACAAGAAGUAGAACAAACACAUGAAGUUCCUGUUGGAAAUUCAAACUUCUCAUACAGCCUUCACUGAGUUCUACUCAUUAUGGAUAAAGGCUUCUGCUUUGAGUCACCUAAGUACUUUUGACCCCCAACUUAAUCAAUGCCUUGAAGUGAAAAUACAGUGUCAGGCAGUCCCUAUUCAUGACACAAACAAACCAACCAACUCAUAUCAUGACUUAAUGGUGUGAGACCUCAGUAAAAACUUUAUAUGAAC
rnacentral:lncRNA from 10 species